rnacentral:rRNA from 1 species
GGGCCCGCACAAGCAGUGGAGCAUGUGGUUUAAUUCGAUGCAACGCGAAGAACCUUACCAGGCCUUGACAUCCUCGGAACUUUCUAGAGAUAGAUUGGUGCCUUCGGGAACCGAGUGACAGGUGCUGCAUGGCUGUCGUCAGCUCGUGUCGUGAGAUGUUGGGUUAAGUCCCGUAACGAGCGCAACCCUUGUCCUUAGUUGCCAGCACAUUAUGGUGGGAACUAUAAGGGGACUGCCGGUGAUAAACCGGAGGAAGGUGAGGACGACGUCAAGUCAUCAUGGCCCUUACGGCCUGGGCUACACACGUGCUACAAUGGCUAGGACAGACGGCCGCAAACCCGCGAGGGGAGCC